AGAACGAACGCUGGCGGCAGGCUUAACACAUGCAAGUCGAGCGCUGUAGCAAUACAGAGCGGCGCACGGGAGAGUAAUACGUGGGAACCUACCUUUUGGUUCGGAAUAACGUCGGGAAACUGCUGCUAAUACCGCAUGACACCUGAGGGUCAAAGGCGCAAGUCGCCUGUGGAGGAGCCUGCGUCCGAUUAGCUAGUUGGUGGGGUAACGGCCUACCAAGGCGACGAUCGGUAGCUGGUCUGAGAGGAUGAUCAGCCACACUGGGACUGAGACACGGCCCAGACUCCUACGGGAGGCAGCAGUGGGGAAUAUUGGACAAUGGGCGCAAGCCUGAUCCAGCAAUGCCGCGUGGGUGAAGAAGGUCUUCGGAUUGUAAAGCCCUUUCGGCGGGGACGAUGAUGACGGUACCCGCAGAGAAGCCCGGCUAACUUCGUGCCAGCAGUCGC
rnacentral:rRNA from 1 species